CCCCUCUCAGGAUCUCACCUGGAGAGCUUCCAGUACUCUACCAGUCCCGGCUAUGGAAGGGAGAGUCAAGCGGUGGCAUACCCAUUCCAUUCCUGGCUUGGGCAGCGGCCAGCGAGUGGAAGGCAAUCUGCUACAAGU
rnacentral:snoRNA from 1 species